rnacentral:rRNA from 1 species
GACGAACGCUGGCGGCGUGCUUAACACAUGCAAGUCGAACGAAGUGGCGAACGGGUGAGUAACGCGUAAUCACCUUGCUCUUCAGCGGGGGACAACAGUUGGAAACGACUGCUAAUACCCCAUUCUGAGGGAGGGGAUUGGGUGGGAUUGGCUGGUGGGUGGGGUAACGGCCAACCAAGGCGAUGAUCAGUAGCCGGGCUGGGAGGAGUGACGGCCACAUUGGGGCUGGGGCACGGGCCAAACUCCUACGGGAGGCAGCAGUGGGGGAUCUUCCGCAAUGGACGGAAGGCUGACGGAGCAACGCCGCGUGAGGGAUGACGGGCUUCGGGUUGGAAAGCUCUGUUAAUCGGGACGCGGUACCGGAAUAGAAAGCCACGGCUAACUACGUGCCAGCAGCCGCGGUAAUUC